AGAUAACGAAAAGGGAGAGAGCCAAGACUCAUUCCAGUGGAGGCUUGAAUCAGGACUUGCUGGACAGAGUUAAUGGAGCCAUCUAUGAAGAUGAGUAGAUCAUCAGCAAACGAUAGAUGAGUGAGUUUAGUGGGAGAGCAGUUGGUGUGGUAUCUGAAUCUAUUCUGGCGUGCGGCAUUGUUCAGCAUAUGAGAGAGACAGUUCAUCGCGAUAACGAAUAGGUAAGGUGAGAGUGGAUCACCCUGCCGGAUACCUCUUUUUCCUUUUAAAAAUCUGUGCACCGACCCAUUGUAGCCAACCAUGAAGCUUGAUGUACAAACACAAGCCUUUAGCUGUCUGAUGAACCUGGCUGGGAACUGUAGCCCUUCAAGGCAAGAGAACAAGAAGUCCCAAGAGAGUGUAUCGAAAGCCUUAGCUAUGUCUACUUUAAUGGUGAUCUUUUUAGCUCCCUUGUUUUUAUGAUAUCCAUUUACAAGUUCACCAGCUAGAGUUGUGUUCUCAACCAACAGUCGACCUUUCACAAAAGUCGUUUGGCUUGGGAAUUUAGGUACCAAGGAGAGUAUCGUUGCGUUUGCUGUAGCUGGGAGAAAGUUGGUGGCGAAGAAGUUUUUUACAGCAGCUAUGACUUCCACUCCUAUGAUAUCCCACGAUGACUUGAAGAACGCUGAGGUUAGGCCAUCCGGGCCUGGGGCUUUAUUAGGAUUCAGCCUAAAGAACAUCGACCUGAUCUCCUCACUAGACGGAAUUGAUAGCAUGAUUUGGCUCAGGUGUGAGGGGAACGAGUAAGAAGAAAGGUCAUGGAACCGGUGUGGAGGAGUGAAGAGAGUAGGAGAUUGAUGACCAAGGACUGCUUGAAAGUGCCUGAUAGCAUGAGUACUCAUUUCUUGAGGGUCUGUUAUCCAUCGGCCCGUAGCAGUGAGAAAAGCUCUUAUAGCAUUAUAGCAAGCCCUUGUCUGACAAAUCCUAUGGAAGUAAGUGGUGUUUAAAUCUCCUUCUUUUAGCCAGUUUAUCCUCGACUUCUGCCUGAAGAACAUCUCCUCAAUUUCUCGUAAGAAGUUCCAUUUUUGGUGCAAGUCUCUUUCUUCCUGAAAUGUUAUAUGGCUCGGGUUUUGCAAAGCUUGUACCUGCGCAAGUUGCAACAAACCUUUGAAUCCAAGAGUCAUGCAGCAACUGAGCAAAACCAGGGUGCUUUGCGAGGUAGUUUUGGAAUUUAUAAGGCUUGGUUCCAGCUGAUGGUA